rnacentral:tRNA from 1 species
CGGGGUAUGGCGCAGCCUGGUAGCGCACUUGCAUGGGGUGCAAGGGGUCGAAGGUUCGAAUCCUUUCACACCGACCA